UACGGAGGGUGCAAGCGUUAUCCGGAUUCACUGGGUUAAAGGGUGCGUAGGUGGGCAGGUAAGUCAGUGGUGAAAUCUCUGGGCUUAACCCGGAAACUGCCAUUGAUACUAUUUGUCUUGAAUAAUCGUGGAGGUCAGCGGAAUAUGUCAUGUAGCGGUGAAAUGCUUAGAUAUGACAUAGAACACCAAUUGCGAAGGCAGCUGGCUACACGAAUAUUGACACUGAUGCACGAAAGCGUGGGGGAUCAAACAGG
rnacentral:rRNA from 1 species